UGCCAGCAGCCGCGGUAAUACGGAGGGUGCAAGCGUUAAUCGGAAUUACUGGGCGUAAAGCGCGCGUAGGCGGUUUUGUAAGUCGGAUGUGAAAGCCCUGGGCUUAACCUGGGAAUGGCAUUCGAUACUGCAUAACUAGAGUAUGGUAGAGGGAAGUGGAAUUUCCGGUGUAGCGGUGAAAUGCGUAGAUAUCAGAAGGAACACCAAUGGCGAAGGCAGCUUUCUGGACCAAUACUGACGCUGAGGUACGAAAGCGUGGGUAGCAAACAGGAUUAGAUA
rnacentral:rRNA from 1 species